GAUGAACGCUGGCGGCGUGCCUAAUACAUGCAAGUCGAGCGAACAGACGAGGAGCUUGCUCCUCUGACGUUAGCGGCGGACGGGUGAGUAACACGUGUAUAACCUACCUAUAAGACUGGUAUAACUUCGGGAAACCGGAGCUAAUACCGGAUAAUAUAUUGAACCGCAGGGUGCAAUAGUGAAAGACGGUUGUGCUGUCACUUAUAGAUGGAUCCGCGCCGCAUUGGCUAGUUGGUAAGGUAACGGCUUACCAAGGGAACGAUGCGUAGCCGAGCUGAGAGGGGGUUCGGCCACUGUGAAGGUGAGACGCGACCCAGGGUCCUAGGGGCGGCAGAGGCUGGUACUCUAGCGAGCAGGGGGGAAGCCUGCCGGAGGAACGCAGCGUGAGUGAUGAAGCGCUGCGGGUCGUAAAACGCUGUUAUGGGGGAAGAACACAUGUGUAUGUAACGAUGCGCGUCUUGCCGGAACCGAUACAGAAGGCCCCGGCUACCUCCGU
rnacentral:rRNA from 1 species